rnacentral:rRNA from 1 species
AUACGUAGGGGGCGAGCGUUGUCCGGAAUGAUUGGGCGUAAAGGGCGCGUAGGCGGCCCGGUAAGUCUGGAGUGAAAGUCCUGUUUUUAAGAUGGGAAUUGCUUUGGAUACUGUCGGGCUUGAGUGCAGGAGAGGUAAGUGGAAUUCCCAGUGUAGCGGUGAAAUGCGUAGAGAUUGGGAGGAACACCAGUGGCGAAGGCGACUUACUGGACCGUAACUGACGCUGAGGCGCGAAAGUGUGGGGAGCAAACAGGAUUAGAUACCCUGGUAGUCCACACUGUAAACGAUGAAUGCUAGGUGUAGGGGGUAUCGACCCCUUCUGUGCCGCAGUCAACACAAUAAGCAUUCCGCCUGGGGAGUACGGCCGAAAGGUUGAAACUCAAAUGAAUUGACGGG